UAUUGCGCAAUGGAGGAAACUCUGACGCAGUGACGCCGCGUAUAGGAAGAAGGUUUUCGGAUUGUAAACUAGUGUCGUGAGGGAAGAAAUUGACAGUACCUUAGGAGGAAGCUCCGGCUAACUAUGUGCCAGCAGCCGCGGUAAUACAUAGGGAGCAAGCGUUAUCCGGAUUUAUUGGGUGUAAAGGGUGCGUAGACGGGAAAUUAAGUUAGUUGUGAAAUCCCUCGGCUUAACUGAGGAACUGCAACUAAAACUGGUUUUCUUGAGUACUGGAGAGGAAAGUGGAAUUCCUAGUGUAGCGGUGAAAUGCGUAGAUAUUAGGAGGAACACCAGUGGCGAAGGCGACUCUUUGGUCUGUAACUGACGCUGAGGCGCGAAAGCGUGGGGAGCAAACAGG
rnacentral:rRNA from 1 species